rnacentral:rRNA from 1 species
UGAGGAAUAUUGGUCAAUGGUCGGGAGACUGAACCAGCCAAGCCGCGUGAGGGAAGAAGGUACAGCGUAUCGUAAACCUCUUUUGCCGGGGAGCAAAGUGCCGCACGUGUGCGGUUUGGAGAGUACCCGGAGAAAAAGCAUCGGCUAACUCCGUGCCAGCAGCCGCGGUAAUACGGAGGAUGCGAGCGUUAUCCGGAUUUAUUGGGUUUAAAGGGUGCGCAGGCGGUCUGUUAAGUCAGCGGUCAAAGCCCGGGGCUCAACCCCGGCCCGCCGUUGAAACUGGCAGUCUCGAGUUGGAGAGAAGUAUGCGGAAUGCGCGGUGUAGCGGUGAAAUGCAUAGAUAUCGCGCAGAACUCCGAUUGCGAAGGCAGCAUGCCGGCUCCACACUGACGCUGAGGCACGAAAGCGUGGGUAUCGAACAGG